rnacentral:rRNA from 1 species
UACGUAGGGGGCAAGCGUUGUCCGGAUUCAUUGGGCGUAAAGAGCGUGUAGGCGGCCAGGUAGGUCGGUUGUGAAAACUGGAGGCUCAACCUUCAGAGGUCGACCGAAACCAUCUGGCUAGAGUCCGGGAGAGGAGAGUGGAAUUCCUGGUGUAGCGGUGAAAUGCGCAGAUAUCAGGAAGAACACCCGUGGCGAAAGCGGCUCUCUGGAACGGUACUGACGCUGAGACGCGAAAGCGUAGGGAGCGAACAGG